rnacentral:rRNA from 1 species
AAGCCUGCGAAGGUGUGCUGUGAGGCAUGCUGGAGGUAUCAGAAGUGCGAAUGCUGACAUAAGUAACGAUAAAGCGGGUGAAAAGCCCGCUCGCCGGAAGACCAAGGGUUCCUGUCCAACGUUAAUCGGGGCAGGGUGAGUCGACCCCUAAGGCGAGGCCGAAAGGCGUAGUCGAUGGGAAACAGGUUAAUAUUCCUGUACUUGGUGUUACUGCGAAGGGGGGACGGAGAAGGCUAUGUUGGCCGGGCGACGGUUGUCCCGGUUUAAGCGUGUAGGCUGGUUUUCCAGGCAAAUCCGGAAAAUCAAGGCUGAGGCGUGAUGACGAGGCACUACGGUGCUGAAGCAACAAAUGCCCUGCUUCCAGGAAAAGCCUCUAAGCAUCAGGUAACAUCAAAUCGUACCCCAAACCGACACAGGUGGUCAGGUAGAGAAUACCAAGGCGCUUGAGAGAACUCGGGUGAAGGAACUAGGCAAAAUGGUGCCGUAACUUCGGGAGAAGGCACGCUGAUAUGUAGGUGAAGUCCCUUGCGGAUGGAGCUGAAAUCAGUCGAAGAUACCAGCUGGCUGCAACUGUUUAUUAAAAACACAGCACUGUGCAAACACGAAAGUGGACGUAUACGGUGUGACGCCUGCCCGGUGCCGGAAGGUUAAUUGAUGGGGUCAGCGCAAGCGAAGCUCUUGAUCGAAGCCCCGGUAAACGGCGGCCGUAACUAUAACGGUCCUAAGGUAGCGAAAUUCCUUGUCGGGUAAGUUCCGACCUGCACGAAUGGCGUAAUGAUGGCCAGGCUGUCUCCACCCGAGACUCAGUGAAAUUGAACUCGCUGUGAAGAUGCAGUGUACCCGCGGCAAGACGGAAAGACCCCGUGAACCUUUACUAUAGCUUGACACUGAACAUUGAGCCUUGAUGUGUAGGAUAGGUGGGAGGCUUUGAAGUGUGGACGCCAGUCUGCAUGGAGCCGGCCUUGAAAUACCACCCUUUAAUGUUUGAUGUUCUAACGUGGACCCGUGAUCCGGGUUGCGGACAGUGUCUGGUGGGUAGUUUGACUGGGGCGGUCUCCUCCUAAAGAGUAACGGAGGAGCACGAAGGUUGGCUAAUCCUGGUCGGACAUCAGGAGGUUAGUGCAAUGGCAUAAGCCAGCUUGACUGCGAGCGUGACGGCGCGAGCAGGUGCGAAAGCAGGUCAUAGUGAUCCGGUGGUUCUGAAUGGAAGGGCCAUCGCUCAACGGAUAAAAGGUACUCCGGGGAUAACAGGCUGAUACCGCCCAAGAGUUCAUAUCGACGGCGGUGUUUGGCACCUCGAUGUCGGCUCAUCACAUCCUGGGGCUGAAGUAGGUCCCAAGGGUAUGGCUGUUCGCCAUUUAAAGUGGUACGCGAGCUGGGUUUAGAACGUCGUGAGACAGUUCGGUCCCUAUCUGCCGUGGGCGCUGGAGAACUGAGGGGGGCUGCUCCUAGUACGAGAGGACCGGAGUGGACGCAUCACUGGUGUUCGGGUUGUCAUGCCAAUGGCACUGCCCGGUAGCUAAAUGCGGAAGAGAUAAGUGCUGAAAGCAUCUAAGCACGAAACUUGCCCCGAGAUGAGUUCUCCCUGACCCUUUAAGGGUCCUGAAGGAACGUUGAAGACGACGACGUUGAUAGGCCGGGUGUGUAAGCGCAGCGAUGCGUUGAGCUAACCGGUACUAAUGAACCGUGAGG